AUCGUCGCUACGGCGCACACUCACGGGAUGGGUGACGGCUGACGGCGAGGGAUUUGAGCCUCAGUAACAGCAUCCUCUAUAGGAUGGAAAACUGGAACAUCACAGGGUGUGGCCGAUUAUGGAUAAGUAGGCAUCAGCUCGAACAUGCU
rnacentral:sRNA from 1 species